AACGAACGCUGGCGGCAUGCCUAACACAUGCAAGUCGAACGAGACCUUCGGGUCCAGUGGCGCACGGGUGCGUAACGCGUGGGAAUCUACCCUUGGGUUCGGAAUAACAGUUAGAAAUGACUGCUAAUACCGGAUGAUGACGUAAGUCCAAAGAUUUAUCGCCCAAGGAUGAGCCCGCGUAAGAUUAGCUUGUUGGUGGGGUAAUGGCCUACCAAGGCGACGAUCUUUAGCUGGUCUGAGAGGAUGAUCAGCCACACUGGGACUGAGACACGGCCCAGACUCCUACGGGAGGCAGCAGUGGGGAAUAUUGGACGAUGGGCGAAAGCCUGAUCCAGCAAUGCCGCGUGAGUGAUGAAGGCCUUAGGGUUGUAAAGCUCUUUUACCAGGGAUGAUAAUGACAGUACCUGGAGAAUAAGCUCCGGCUAACUCCGUGCCAGCCGCCGCAGUAA
rnacentral:rRNA from 1 species